rnacentral:misc_RNA from 1 species
GAGUUCCAAAAAUCCAAACCCAAACCUCCAACGCCCGUCGCUGUCGGGCAACCUGUACCACGGACUACAACUUUACUUUACUUUAUAUAUUUAACCAACUAUAUAGGUACAUUAUAAUAUUAUAUUGCAAUAUUAACUAUAAAUUUCGAAUCGCGGCGCUAGUUGCGGUGCGAACCCGUCUUAAAUUUUAGUUUUCUAUUUCCACACUGUUGCUCGUCCUGAAUCGUGUUUACGAUUGCGUUAUUUGCAUUGGGUGCAGGAGCUCGACUUGUAAUCAUUUUGUUUAUUCGUUCGCUCAUUCGCUGUUGGGCACCGAGUACUUACUGCGGCCAGCUAGUUCCUCAAAACGAUAAGCGUCUAUAGCACAACUACCUACAACCGGUAAUCAUUAAUCCGAUUAUCGAAGUUUCAUUCCGGCGCCAUUUCGAGGGUUUCGAUUUAACUACAACGAAAUAUACAAUAAUUCUUCUUUGCGUAUAUCCGUCUGCGUGAUUGUUCGUACAAUGAGUGUAUCGGGGGAAAAUGCUGUAGAUGUUGAAGAACCGGAACAGUUCAGAAAAUUAUUCAUUGGUGGACUUAACUAUACAACUACAAAUGAUUCAUUAAAAGAAUUUUUCGAAAAGUGGGGCGAUAUUGUCGAUGUAGUCGUUAUGAAAGAUCCCGUGACAAAAAGAUCACGAGGAUUUGGUUUUAUUACAUAUUCAAAAGCUUCAAUGGUAGAUGAUGCUAUGGCCAAUAGACCGCAUAAAAUUGAUGGCCGUGAAGUAGAAACAAAACGUGCUGUACCUCGUGAUGACAUAGACAAACCUGAUAUAGCAUGGACUGUAAAAAAAAUGUUUGUUUCUGGAAUUAAAGAACAAGCUGAAGAAGACUUAAAAGAAUAUUUUGGACAGUAUGGAAAUAUACUUAACAUUCAAAUUAUUGCAGACAAAGAAACUGGACAGCGUAAAGGCUUUGGAUUCAUUGAAUUUGAUGAUUCAGACUCUGUUGAUAAAGCUGUUUUAAUCAAAACCCAUGAAGUUUCUGGAUCUAAAUUAGAAGUUAAAAAAGCUGUCAGUAAAGAUGUAGCAUCGGCUUCUAGAGGUCGCAGAGGUGGCCGUGGUGCUAGUGGUGGAAGAGGACAAAGUUGGGGAGGACCAAAUAACUGGGGAGGUAACCAUUUUGGGGGAUAUGGCAAUGGAGGCGGUAGUGGUGGUUGGGCUCAAGGCGGUCCUCAAGGUUGGAAUAAUGUUUGGGGUAGUCAAGCUACCCAAGGAGGUUGGGGUAAUGGAGGAGGUAAUUGGGGAGGUAGUCAAAGUAGUGGAUAUGGAGGUGGACCAAUGCGAGGAAAUUUUGGUAACAACAGAGCAGUACCAUAUCAUACAGGCCGUGGAGGUAGUGGUAAUUUCCACCAAAAUUCAAGAGGAAGGUAUUAAAAGCAGGUUGCUGAAGCGAGGCUGGUAGGAAUCAAUAACCAUCAAAUUUCUUUCCUUCAACUUUUGGGUAUUGAACUAUUCGAAUGAUGUUUUUUUCAGACAAAAAUUAUCUGCUCUUCACAUGUUGACACUUAUUGCCAUUUAUGAACCACUAUAAAAUUAUGCAAAUGUUCAACUAAACAGUUUUCAACAUUUCAAGAAACUAUUGAUGCAUAAUUUACAUAGUUUUGGGAUCAAACUGAUAUAAUUGAAAAGAUGACAACUGCCUGUAUUUAAUUUUCAUGGUGACAAUAUGUUGAUUUCAAAAGGUACAUAAUAUAUACUACAUAGCCAAAUUUUCAAAAUGUAUGUCAGACCCAAACAUAAAUCAAACCGUUUUGAAUAGAACUUCCAUAUAACAGUCACCGAAGGGACUGUAAAUAAUGACCGCUAUUUAGUGGUGCCCGUCCUACAGAGGUAGGAUAACGCUCGACAGGAUCAAAAAAAUUGACCGUUACACAGAG